CCUACGGGAGGCAGCAGUGGGGAAUCUUGCGCAAUGGGCGAAAGCCUGACGCAGCGACGCCGCGUGGGGGAUGAAGGCCCUCGGGUUGUAAACCCCUUUCGGCAGGGACGCGGUACCUGCAGAAGAAGCCUCGGCUAACUACGUGCCAGCAGCCGCGGUAAGACGUAGGAGGCGAGCGUUGUCCGGAUUCAUUGGGCGUAAAUAGCACGCAGGCGGUUUGGCAAGUCGGACGUGAAAAUCCGGGGCUCAACCCCGGACCUGCAUCCGAAACUGCCCGACUAGAGGUAGGUAGGGGAGAUCGGAAUUCCUGGUGUAGCGGUGAAAUGCGCAGAUAUCAGGAGGAACACCGGUGGCGAAGGCGGAUCUCUGGGCCUUCCUGACGCUCAGGUGCGAAAGCUAGGGGAGCGAACAGGAUUAGAUACCCUUGUAGUC
rnacentral:rRNA from 1 species